rnacentral:tRNA from 1 species
GUGCCCGAAAGUUAAGGACCUCCUUGAUAGGGAGAACCAUAGGGACUCGAACCCCCUCACUUCCCUAGAGAG